rnacentral:rRNA from 1 species
GAAUUUUGGACAAUGGGCGAAAGCCUGAUCCAGCAAUGCUGCGUGCAGGAUGAAGGCCUUCGGGUUGUCAACUUCUUUUGUACGGAACGAAAAGCUUUGGGUUAAUACCCUGGAGUCAUGACGGUACCGCAAGAAUAAGCACCGGUCAGCUACUUGCCACUAGCCGCGGUAAUACGUAGAGUGCAAGCGUUAAUCGGAAUUACUGGGCGUAAAGCGUGCGCAGGCGGUUUUGUAAGACAGAGGUGAAAUCCCCGGGCUCAACCUGGGAACUGCCUUUGUGACUGCAAGGCUAGAGUACGGCAGAGGGGGGUGGAAUUCCGCGUGUAGCAGUGAAAUGCGUAGAUAUGCGGAGGAACACCGAUGGCGAAGGCAACCCCCUGGGCCUGUACUGACGCUCAUGCACGAAAGCGUGGGGAGCAAACAGG